rnacentral:rRNA from 1 species
UAGGGAAUCUUCGGCAAUGGACGAAAGUCUGACCGAGCAACGCCGCGUGAGUGAAGAAGGUUUUCGGAUCGUAAAACUCUGUUGUUAGAGAAGAACAAGGACGUUAGUAACUGAACGUCCCCUGACGGUAUCUAACCAGAAAGCCACGGCUAACUACGUGCCAGCAGCCGCGGUAAUACGUAGGUGGCAAGCGUUGUCCGGAUUUAUUGGGCGUAAAGCGAGCGCAGGCGGUUUCUUAAGUCUGAUGUGAAAGCCCCCGGCUCAACCGGGGAGGGUCAUUGGAAACUGGGGGACUUGAGUGCAGAAGAGGAGAGUGGAAUUCCAUGUGUAGAGGUGAAAUGCGUAGAUAUAUGGAGGAACACCAGUGGCGAAGGCGGCUCUCUGGUCUGUAACUGACGCUGAGGCUCGAAAGCGUGGGGAGCAAACAGG